ACCUUUACUAUAGCUUGACACUGAACAUUGAGCCUUGAUGUGUAGGAUAGGUGGGAGGCUUAGAAGUGUGGACGCCAGUCUGCAUGGAGCCGACCUUGAAAUACCACCCUUUAAUGUUUGAUGUUCUAACGUUGACCCGUAAUCCGGGUUGCGGACAGUGUCUGGUGGGUAGUUUGACUGGGGCGGUCUCCUCCUAAAGAGUAACGGAGGAGCACGAAGGUUGGCUAAUCCUGGUCGGACAUCAGGAGGUUAGUGCAAUGGCAUAAGCCAGCUUGACUGCGAGCGUGACGGCGCGAGCAGGUGCGAAAGCAGGUCAUAGUGAUCCGGUGGUUCUGAAUGGAAGGGCCAUCGCUCAACGGAUAAAAGGUACUCCGGGGAUAACAGGCUGAUACCGCCCAAGAGUUCAUAUCGACGGCGGUGUUUGGCACCUCGAUGUCGGCUCAUCACAUCCUGGGGCUGAAGUAGGUCCCAAGGGUAUGGCUGUUCGCCAUUUAAAGUGGUACGCGAGCUGGGUUUAGAACGUCGUGAGACAGUUCGGUCCCUAUCUGCCGUGGGCGCUGGAGAACUGAGGGGGGCUGCUCCUAGUACGAGAGGACCGGAGUGGACGCAUCACUGGUGUUCGGGUUGUCAUGCCAAUGGCACUGCCCGGUAGCUAAAUGCGGAAGAGAUAAGUGCUGAAAGCAUCUAAGCACGAAACUUGCC
rnacentral:rRNA from 1 species